UCUGCCGCCCUCCUGAAGGACUUGAGCAGAGGCCUCCUGGAAUAUAGAAGAGGUGCUGGAGAAAAAAGAGCAUCCUCUCUCCUCAGAAAAGUCCUCCGCGGGCCCCUGUGAACGCACUUUCUCGACUGUACGAACGGCCCAGCUCCACCUGGUUGAUCGAUGAGAACUGUGCAGUGCUAUCAGUUCAUGGAGCUUCUUAGAGUCGUGCAGGGACCACUGAGUCACAGAGAGCUCCAAUGGAGAUCCUAGCUCGUCCUGGCAGUCACCUCCUCC